GACGAACGCUGGCGGCGUGCCUAAUACAUGCAAGUAGAACGCACAGAAUGCACCGUAGUUUACUACACCGUAUUCUGUGAGUUGCGAACGGGUGAGUAACGCGUAGGUAACCUGCCUGGUAGCGGGGGAUAACUAUUGGAAACGAUAGCUAAUACCGCAUAAGAACAUUUACUGCAUGGUAGAUGUUUAAAAGGUGCAAAUGCAUCACUACCAGAUGGACCUGCGUUGUAUUAGCUAGUAGGUGAGGUAACGGCUCACCUAGGCGACGAUACAUAGCCGACCUGAGAGGGUGAUCGGCCACACUGGGACUGAGACACGGCCCAGACUCCUACGGGAGGCAGCAGUAGGGAAUCUUCGGCAAUGGGGGGAACCCUGACCGAGCAACGCCGCGUGAGUGAAGAAGGUUUUCGGAUCGUAAAGCUCUGUUGUUAAGGAAGAACGAGUGUGAGAAUGGA
rnacentral:rRNA from 1 species